rnacentral:rRNA from 1 species
AAUCGAAGCUAAUACCGCAUAAUCCCGAGAGGGGAAAGCAGUAAUGCGCUGAAAGAGUAGUCCGCGGCUGAUUAGCUAGUUGGUGAGGUAAUGGCUCACCAAGGCGAUGAUCGGUAGCCGGCCUGAGAGGGCUCACGGCCACAUUGGCACUGAAACACGGGCCAGACUCCUACGGGAGGCAGCAGUCGGGAAUAUUGCACAAUGGGGGAAACCCUGAUGCAGCGACGCCGCGUGAGUGAUGAAGCCCUUCGGGGUGUAAAGCUCUUUCGACGGGAACGAUAAUGACGGUACCCGGAGAAGAAGCUGCGGCUAACUACGUGCCAGCAGCCGCGGUAAUACGUAGGCAGCAAGCGUUGUUCGGAAUUACUGGGCGUAAAGCGAGUGUAGGUGGUGCUAUAAGUUUGGUGUGAAAUCUCCCGGCUCAACUGGGAGGGUGCGCCGAAGACUGUAGUGCUAGAGUAUGGGAGAGGUAGGCGGAAUUCCUGGUGUAGCGGUGAAAUGCGUAGAUAUCAGGAGGAACACCUGCGGUGUAGACGGCUUACUGGACCAUGACUGACACUGAAACUCGAAAGUGUGGGGAGCAAACAGGAUUAGAUACCCUGGUAGUCCACACCCUAAACGAUGCAUACUUGGUGUGAGCGAUUCAUUUCGUUCGUGCCGGAGCUAACGCGUUAAGUAU